AGUGAAUUUGCAUUUUUAAUUGUAUUAUAAUUUACCCUCUAUUCGGUAAACAGAUGAGAAAACUAUGUGGUAUAUUAUGGAAUUAGAGUUUUCUGACAGAGGCAUAUAUAUAUUUUGUACUUCGGUUUAAUUAUACAUACCGAAAAGUUUCUAUUCCCUCUCUGCCCGUGAAUAUAUGCAGUCGAUUUUCAAACCACGUAAAUAUUUAUGUACUUUGUUUGCUUCUCUCUUUCUCAAUUCUCUUUUGCUUUUUUGUGCGCCAAACAAAUUAGAUUUUUUUCGCUUUUGUUAUAAACAAAUCAAUAUAAGAGCAAAUCUGGUAACCGAGUAAGUGACGGAUUCAUAAUAAUUUUUAAAAAUAUUCUAGAUCAACUCUGAAAAAUAAUAUGAAAAAUAUAUACAAAGACUAUCUGUAAUAAACUUUACUCUCGUACCGACCGUCCCUAGCGUAAGAGGCAAAAGGGCUUGAUCGUUGGUACCCGAGACCCAAGUUCGAAUUGUAGUUGAUUCACGUUUCCAGCUAAUUAAGUUUAUUUCUAAAUGAAAUAAACGAAACGGGUAGCAUGCUAUCUUUCUCUAAAAAUAAAUAAAUAAAUAAAUUUUAUUCUCAUCAAUUAACUAUAUUAUUUUACAAAUCGAAUUUGAUCUUCAUAAUUGAUUACCUGUCAAAAAUUGGACAAAAGCUGCUUCUCCAUCUCUUUUUGCACCCACUAGUGAUUUGUUUAUGUAAAAGCUAAUCACAUUUAGUACACAUCCACUCCUUUCACUUGAUUAAAGCUGCUCCAUAAAGCAGUCAAAAGCUUUUCCCAAAAGCCAAUUUGUGCAAUUGGAUGUGAGAUGUUGAGGAUUUUGUGUAUCCAUUUGUUUCAAAUUAUCUUCUUGCCAUGUAUUAUAUUCUUAUGUUGUACUGCUUCAUUUAUUUUUGGGCAAACUUCAAUUACCCCUCGUGGUUUCGCACUUUCUUAUUUUAGUAUCCUGUGAUUUAAAGUGUAUCAAUUUAGUACCUUGUGGUUUCACUUUUCUCUUUCCAUCAGCUCCUCCAUUAAUAUUUCAUUAAUUCAGAUAUUCCACCUAGGUUUAUCGAAUAUUCACUUUAGUACCUUUUUAGUUUUAACUUAAUUCGUCACUGAUUUAACGAAAAAAAAUUAGUGGAAGGGAUAAUAAAAAGAGAAAAAUAAAACCACGGGAUACUAAAUCGUUACACUUUAAACCACAGGGUACCAAAGUAAGAAA
rnacentral:lncRNA from 1 species